rnacentral:tRNA from 1 species
GUAGAUAUAGUUUAAAUAAAACAUUAGGUUGUGAUCCUAACAUUAAAGGUUAAAAUCCUUUUGUCCACC